rnacentral:rRNA from 1 species
UUGUGGUUAAAAAGCUCGUAGUUGGAUCUCAACAGCCUUGAAGCGGUUAACUUUGUAGUUUUACUGCUUUAUAGGCUGUGCUUUUGCUGGAGGUUUAGGGGUGCUCUUGAUCGAGUGUCUCUGGAUGCCAGCAGGUUUACUUUGAAAAAAUUAGAGUGCUCAAAGCAGGCUAAAAUGCCUGAAUAUUCGUGCAUGGAAUAAUAGAAUAGGAUGUCGAUCCUAUUUUGUUGGUUUUCGGGACUCGACAUAAUGAUAAAUAGGGACAGUCGGGGGCAUUUGUAUUCAAACGACAGAGGUGAAAUUCUUGGACCGUUUGAAGACAAACUACUGCGAAAGCAUUUGCCAAGAAUGUUUUCAUUAAUCAAGAACGAAAGUUAGAGGUUCGAAGGCGAUUAGAUACCGCCCUAGUUCUAACCAUAAACGAUGCCAGCUAGCGAUCUGCCUGCGUUUUUACUGUAGACUGGGCAGGAAGCUUCCGGGAAACCAAAGCAUUUGGGUUCCAGGGGAAGUAUGGUUGCAAAGCUGAAACUUAAAGGAAUUGACGGAAGGGCACCACCAGGAGUGGAGCCUGUGGCUUAAUUUGACUCAACACGGGAAAUCUCACCAGGCCCGGACACUGGAAGGAUCGACAGAUUGAUAGCUCUU